rnacentral:rRNA from 1 species
UACGGGGGGGUGCGAGCGUUGUCCGGAAUCACUGGGCGUAAAGGGCGCGUAGGUGGUUUGAUAAGGGUGUGGUGAAAGUCCGGGGCUCAACCUGGGAAUUGCGGUUGAAACUGGCGAACUAGAAUCUGGCAGAGGGGGGUGGAAUUCCACGUGUAGCAGUGAAAUGCGUAGAUAUCUGGAGGAAUACCGGUGGCGAAGGCGGCAUCCUGGACCGACAUUGACGCUGAGGAGCGAAAGCCAGGGGAGCAAACGGG